AGUGAACGCUGGCGGCGUGCCUAAUACAUGCAAGUCGAACGGAGUGGCGCACGGGUGAGUAAUAUAUAGCUAAUCUGCCCCAUGCUGGAGGACAACAGUUAGCAAUGACUGCUAAUACUCCAUAGAAAGGGAUGAGACUAUAUCGUAGCAGCUAGUCGGUGGGGUAACGGCCGACCGAGGCUAUGACGCGUCACUGGUCUGAGAGGAUGAUCAGGCACAUUGGAACUGAGACACGGUCCAGACUCCUACGGGAGGCAGCAGGAGGGAAUAUUGCGCAAAGGGGGAAACCCUGACGCAGCAUCGCCGCGUGGAGGAGGACACUUGUCGGAGCGUAAACGCCUUUUGUGAGGGAAGCGGUACCUAACGAAUAAGCACCGGCUAACUCCGUGCCAGCAGCCGCGGUAAUAC
rnacentral:rRNA from 1 species